rnacentral:rRNA from 1 species
GACGUAGGGGGCGAGCGUUGUUCGGAAUCACUGGGCGUAAAGCGCGCGCAGGCGGCCUUUCAAGUCAGGGGUGAAAGCCCGGAGCUCAACUCCGGAAUUGCCUUUGAAACUGUCAGGCUCGAGUACGGGAGAGGUGAGUGGAAUUCCCAGUGUAGAGGUGAAAUUCGUAGAUAUUGGGAAGAACACCGGUGGCGAAGGCGGCUCACUGGCCCGUUUCUGACGCUCAGGCGCGACAGCGUGGGGAUCAAACAGG